rnacentral:rRNA from 1 species
AUACGGAGGGUGCAAGCGUUAUUCGGAAUCACUGGGCGUAAAGGACGCGUAGGCGGGUUGGCAAGUCAGAUGUGAAAUCCUACAGCUUAACUGUAGAACUGCAUUUGAAACUGCUAACCUAGAGUAUGGGAGGGGGAGAUGGAAUUAGUGGUGUAGGGGUAAAAUCCGUAGAUAUCACUAGGAAUACCGAAAGCGAAGGCGAUCUCCUGGUACAUAACUGACGCUAAGGCGUGAAAGCGUGGGGAGCAAACAGGAUUAGAUACCCGCGUAGUCC